UGUCCGUAAUUAAACGGUACAAACUACCGUAUUCGUAUGAAGGAUUUUUCCGUUAUCUCAUUCUACGGAUGCUUUACCCGUAUUUUGAAGAACGCAAUGCACUGUGGGAUACACUGCCUAAACAGAUGUGUCAAAAAAUAACACAUUGAGAUGUGUGUAGACAGCAUAUUGACAGAUUAUGUGUCAUUUUUGUGUAAGAUUUACACAGAAUGGGUGAAACCUGAAGUUAAGAGGUUCAUUUCUGAGUCGUGCUUGCAAUUGAGAAACUAACGGCCGUUUGGCUGUCCCCUCGCGUGACUGUGGACAUUUGAAAGCAGACUUCCGCCCGCCUUUUCUACCGUUGGAAAUGCAAGAUGCGGGCGACUUGACUUCAGACACCGAGAGAGGCUGGCGGCCCAGGUCUUGUGGCCACAUCUGUCCAAGCUCCUACUCUGAUUGAACAGUUGGAUGAUCAGACUGAUGAUGAAAAGUGCUACACAGUUCUCACACAUCUUCUACCUCCGAAGCCGCUGCAGUGUAAAAUCUGAGAUGUCUUUUCUGGUUGAUUUUGUGCAGAUUUCUGACAGCGACAGCGAUGGUGAGGGAAGCAGUGUACCGAACUCUCAGAUGACUCGGACCAGGUGACCAAAC